CAGAGGGUGCGAGCGUUAAUCGGAUUUACUGGGCGUAAAGCGUGUGUAGGUGGCUACCUAAGUCGAUUGUGAAAUCCCUGGGCUCAACCUGGGAAUUGCAGUCGAUACUGGGCAGCUCGAGUUCGGUAGAGGGUGACGGAAUUCCCGGUGUAGCGGUGAAAUGCGUAGAUAUCGGGAGGAACAUCGAUGGCGAAGGCAAUCACCUGGGCCUGAACUGACACUGAGACACGAAAGCGUGGGUAGCAAACAGGAUUAGAUACCCUGGUAGUCCACGCUGUAAACGAUGGAAACCUGACGUCGGUUUGCUCUGCGAAUCGGUGUCGUAGCUAACGCGCUAAGUUUCCCGCCUGGGGAGUACGGCCGCAAGGUUG
rnacentral:rRNA from 1 species